rnacentral:rRNA from 5 species
GAGUGGGUUGCAAAAGAAGUAGGUAGCUUAACCUUCGGGAGGGCGCUUACCACUUUGUGAUUCAUGACUGGGGUGAAGUCGUAACAAGGUAACCGUAGGGGAACCUGCGGUUGGAUCACCUCCUUACCUUAAAGAAGC